AGUGUAAUUGCUGGGUCACAUGGUAGUUACAAGUUUAGUUUUUAAAGGAACUGUCAAACUAUUUUCCGGAGUGGCCAUACCAUUUUACAUUCCCAUUAGCAAU
rnacentral:pre_miRNA from 1 species